rnacentral:lncRNA from 1 species
GUCCAGGUGCCUCCCUGAGUCUGCAGAGGCUUGUGCUGAAAUCUCAAACCUGCUCCUUGCCCUUACUGAGGUCACAGCACAGCCACCCCAGGGAAAGUGCGACUGAGGCACUUGCAAACCACUCCUGCAGGAACAACUCCCCACAGCACCAGCCUUUGCCCUUCUGUGUCACCUGAGCUUGUCAUACCUCAUAUUCCACCAAUCAUGGAUCCAUUGGAGUGUGAGCUGGAAGGAAGGUCUGUCACUCCAAGCUCCCACUCAGGCAAUGGCUGCUGGCAGCACUGAACAGCCACAUCUUUCUGCAGCUGACUCUUGGAACCCUGCACACAUGCCUGGGCAACCUGGAAUGCCAUUGUUCAUGAUGUGGAUGGGCAGCUCAUGGGUACAGACAUCACAAGAAUGUGAUCCACGUCAGCCUACAGCAUCCAUAGCAGUGCACAGCAUUGCUCUGCUGAGCAAUAAUAAGAUCACAGUAACCUCACUAUCCCUGCAGAAGAGUUCUUAUCAGGAAGCAAAGGAUGUUGUUUCAAGUCAGAACUUGUGUCGUCACUGUAGAGCACAGGGUGAAAAGAGAGACUGCAGCACUUUCCCAGGAGAUGAUUGUUUUACAGGAACCCUGGGCAGCACUAUCUGUUGGAGAUUAGCUACAUUAGGACUCAACAGACCAGAAAACAUCCAGAAUAAUAGUCUUGGUACUAGCUUAUAGAUGCAGUGUAUUAAAA